CGCGAUGAUGAGCCGACCUGCCUGAUGGAUGAUGAGGAUUUUGAGUCCUGAGCG
rnacentral:snoRNA from 1 species